rnacentral:lncRNA from 1 species
UUUUUUUUUUUUUUUGUAAGAUAGAUAGAAAAGAGAGAACUUUGGGUUUUGAAAUCCGUUUUAACCAUCUCAAAGGCUGAAUUUCUCCUCAGCCAGCAGGCUUUCUCUUCCACCACUAAUCCACAAAUCAAAACUCUUUGAAAUCUCUUUUUUUUUGAAUCAUAGAUUUUUUUUAAUACUUUUUCUAGUGGAUAGUAUUGAGGGGCCCAGAUUUAAGAUAGAAAGACGAAGAAGUGUUUAUGAAAUGGGAGAUGAGAAGAUGAACAAACAAUACUGGAAGAGUGGCUCUGAUACCACUUGAUACGCCAUAAAAGGAUCACUCGACCGGAUUGGAAGGGAUAUGAACUCCGAAGGAGAACUGAUGGAAUGAUGGGUCGCACAAAGGUUGCGGAAUGGCCUUUCAUAUUCCCGAACCAGUUUGUUGCCGGAUGUGAUGCACCGGUCCA